rnacentral:lncRNA from 1 species
GAAGUUGAUGUGGAAAUUGCUGAACAAUUUGUGACUAUCAAGAACAUGUUAGAAGAUUUGGGAAUGGUUGAUGGAGAUGUUGACUCAUCUCCUUUACCAAGUGUUAAUUCAGCAAUCUUAAAAAAAAAAUAAGUCAUUUAGUGGUGUAGCCACCACAAAGAUGGUUCUCCUCCUUCUGAAGAUAACAGGAACAAAGAAAAGUGAACAGGUGAUAUCCCUGUUUGGGAACAGGAAUUUCUGAAAAUU